GUUGCAUUUUAAAGCCCUAGACCGCAUCGCAAGCCCCUUUUCUCCCCAACCCCAAAUCGCCACCUCCAAUCACCACCCACGUCCACCACCAUCUGCCUACGUCUGCCAUAAUCACCACCCACAUCGGCCACCACGUUUCUCCCACUCCAAAUUGCUCCCAUCAUCAGUACCUAGGUCGGCACCAAUUGCAUCGCCAGCAUCACUAGCCACUUCCUCCACCACUCUCCAUCCCAAAUCGUUGUGUGUUGUAUUUAGCAUGUCAUUCUAAGUGAUCAAGGAUCAUAGCAAAUUCUUUAGGACUGGGGACUUGGUUGGACGUGGUGCUUGGAAUUCAGUGGGUCAUAGGAGGAAAUUCACAUGGAGGCUUGAAAAUCGUUUAGGGUGGAAGGAUCUACUUUAAAAGGGAAAGAAAAUUGGAUUUUGUAUCAAAAGCAAGAAGGUUCAAUUUGGGAAUCAUGUCGCCUUAUAGUUUACUCUCGAGGAGAGACUGAGCCACCUUGUCAUUUACCUAUUUUCCUAGAAGUCACAAAUUUACAAAAUACUAAUAGUUACUGGGUUUGUUUUAUGAGCUAUCAUUUUUCAGUUGUCAGCCAAAAGGUGCAGGACGAAUCCGUUACAAAGGAAUCACAAAAUCACUAUUUGAAAUGUGCAAAACUGGAUGCUUCAGUGAGCAUGUGUGUGAAGGAAAAACAAAAAGCUACGUUAUUUCCAAUACAUAUAGAAGAUACAACUCAUAAGCAAGUAGUUACCAAUGGGGAAAACAAGCAUUGGUCAUGGUUGUGGGAGGAAACGCAUAAAUAUAUGAUAUUUACAGAAGUAUAGGUUGCAGACAAACUUUUUGAGUUUUGUGACUUUCAAGUUGCAAAAGAAACCGAUGUAUACAGCUAGUCCUGCUAGUUACUUUGAGGAGACAAUGACUUUUUGGUGUAUGGAAGUGGUGAUCAGUGGUCUGCUUUGCUGUAAAGAUCAUUGAUGUCACCAUUGGAGCAGACCGUUUUAAUUCUUUAACGUCGCACGAGCCACACUUUCCCCGACCCCUAAAAACAGAUAAUGGAAGAAGAAAGUCAAGAAGCUCCACCACCUAAGGAAUACAUUUCGUCUUCGUUGACUUUGAGGACUAGAAUGAACAUAGUUAAUGAAAUUGCAAGGGCUCUUACACCAAGACAGAAAGAAUUGUUUCAGGGUACUUGUUUUGGCCCAUGGUUGCAAUUACAACAAACGAGAGGAGACCCAGCUUUGACUCAUCUAUUUUUGCAAUUACAACCAAUCGGGAUCCAACGUGGUGAACAGGAGUUCUGGUUCUAUUUUCCACCAUUUCACUAUGCUCGAUUUGGACGUGAAGAGUUUUGCUUAGUGACCGGCCUACGGUUCGGGCGUCAUGACUCAUUCGGUCCAUACAUCCAGAAUAUCCACGGCCCAUUAUGGGUAUUUAAUGUUUUUCCAGGCUACAAUAGGGGUGGUGAAGGUCUGAAAGUGUCUGAUUUCGAGAAAGUGUUGCAAGAAGGUCCUUCAGGUAGGUUGAGUGAUAUUGAUUUUGUUCGACUAUGCGUUAUAUUGCUUGUCGAGGUCGGCUUUACUGGAAAACAAUCAACCCAACUUGUUAGUCCCGAUAUGUUAUCAUUGGCUGAAAAUAUGGAAGCAUGGAACAUGUUUCCAUGGGGUUCAUACCUCUGGUGAAAGGUAUAUGAACAACUAUCCGGUAGUCAGGCAAAGCUUAAGGAAGCAGAGGGCCGUAAAUACACUUAUUUAUAAGUGAUAGAUAUACUUAUUUAUAUUGGUAUAUGUAUUCUUAAUAUUGAUGGAGAUUAUGCCGAUUGAUGAUGUAAGUGAUAGAUAUACUUAUUUAUAUUGGUAUAUGUAUUCUUAAUAUUUGAAGUCGACUUAGAAUAUAUUGUU